CAAUUUCUACUGUACAGCAAAGUGACCCAGUCAUUCAUAUAUAUUAUACAUAAAAAUAUACAAUACAUAUAUAUGUAUUCUUUUUCUCAUACUCUCUUCCAUCAUGAUCUAACCUAAGAGAUUGGACAUAGUUCUCUGCUAUCCAGUAGGACCUCAUUACUUAUCCAUUCUAAGUGUAAUAGUUUGCAUCUACCAACCCCAAUCCCCCAUUUAUCCCACUCCCUCCUCUCUACCCCUUGGCAGCCAAAAGUCUAUUCUCUAUGUGUGUGUCUGUUUCUAUUUUUCAUAUAGGUUCAUUUGCACUAGAUUUUAGAUCCCACAUAUAAGUGGUAUCAUAUGGUAUAUGUCUUUCCUUUUCUCACUUAAUUCACUUAGUAUGAGAAUCUCUAGUUGCAUCCAUGUUGCUGCAAAUGGCAUUAUUUCAUUCUUUUUUAGGACUGAGUAGCAUUCCACUGUGUGGAAUCCAUUCAUAUCUUCCUAAUCCAUUCAUAUGUCAAUAGACAUUUAGGUUGCUUCCAUGUCUUGGCUAUUGUGAAUAGUGCUGCUGUGAACAUAGGGGUACAUGUAUAUUUUUGAAUUACAGUUUCAUCUAGAAAUUUCAUUUUAUUAUCAUGCUUUUCUACAAUGGCCAUAAUUUUAACACAAUAUUAAAUAAUAAGAAUGAAACUUAUACCUGAUUUUAUUUCCAACUUUAAUGAAUAUGUUUCUGUGAGGAAUUAUGUGCCUAUUGGUAGAUAGUUUUUAAAUAUUAAGAUAAUAGCCUUCAAGUCCUAUAUUAUCAAGAGGUUUUUUUUUUUUAAUUAUGUACAGGAGUUCCCACUUUGGCACAACAGGAUUGGUGGCAUCUCUGCUGUGCUGGGAUACAGGUUUAAUCCCUGGCCCUGCACAAUGGGUUAAAGGAUCUUUGCAUUGCUGUAGCUAUUUGUAGGUUGCAAUUUCAGCUUGGAUCUGAUCUUUGGCCUGGGAACGCUUUAUGCCGUGGGGCAGCCAAAAAAGAAAAAACAAUUAUGGGUUGUCUUGACUUGAUUUUGUGUCUUUUCAACGUCAAUUAAAAUGAUUUAGGUUUUUUCUCUUCCUUAGGUGGGCUACUGAUAUGAUAUAUUAGUAUAAUAUAAACUAUCUUCAAGUCCCUAAGAUGUAUAAGCUUCCUUUCUAUAUUAUGAUAUAUUAUCAAUUAAAUUAUCUAUUUGUUUAUUUACCUGCAAGAAAUAAUUUCCCCCACAUUAUCCAAGUGGAUUAAAGGCUGCUUAUAAGAUUACAAGAACUAUAAUUGGAUAGAAAACAUUCAAAAUGAGAAAUGACACAUAGGGUGGAUCACAGAGAACUUGAGUGACUUGCCCAUGUUUGCACAGCUAAUAAGUGAAAGCCAAGUUCAAACUCAGAGCAUAUGAUCUUUACUAUCACACUUGUACCCGGCUUUCUGAUACUCUUCUAGCUUGGUCUUACAGUAGAGUUUUAUUUAAAAGAAUGUAUGGGAGUUCCCACUGUGGCACAACAGGAUCUGGAGGCAUCUUGGGAGCGCUGGAAUAUAGGUUCAAUCCCCUGCCCCUCACAGUGGGUUAGGGAUCCAGCAUUGCUGAAGCUGUGGCUUAGGUCACAACUACAGCUCAGAUCUGAUCCCUGACCUGGGAACUCCCUAUGCCAGAGGACAACCAAAAAAAUUAAAAAAUAAUAAAUAGAUAAAAAUAAAAGAAUACACAGAUUUUGAAGCCUUCUGAAAUUCCCCAUCAAUACUGUGUUUCUCAAGUGGGAUUUUUAUUAAUCUUGGGCAAUGAGUUUGCAUUCUGUAAUGAGUACCCAGGCUCUUAUUAUUUUAUAUUUCCAGCUAAACAGAAAUACAUCUGUCUUAACAGACAAUUCAACUGGGGAUGGACCU
rnacentral:lncRNA from 1 species